rnacentral:rRNA from 1 species
AUACGGAGGGUGCAAGCGUUAAUCGGAAUUACUGGGCGUAAAGCGCGCGUAGGCGGCUUGAUAAGUCGGAUGUGAAAUCCCCGGGCUUAACCUGGGAAUUGCAUUCGAUACUGUCAGGCUAGAGUGUGGUAGAGGGAAGUGGAAUUUCCGGUGUAGCGGUGAAAUGCGUAGAUAUCGGAAAGAACAUCAGUGGCGAAGGCGGCUUCCUGGAUCAACACUGACGCUGAGGUGCGAAAGCGUGGGGAGCAAACAGGAUUAGAAACCCUGGUAGUCC